GAGUUUGAUCCUGGCUCAGAUUGAACGCUGGCGGCAUGCCUUACACAUGCAAGUCGAACGGCAGCACGGGAGCUUGCUCCUGGUGGCGAGUGGCGAACGGGUGAGUAAUAUAUCGGAACGUACCCUAGAGUGGGGGAUAACGCAGCGAAAGUUGCGCUAAUACCGCAUACGAUCUACGGAUGAAAGUGGGGGAUCGCAAGACCUCAUGCUCAUGGAGCGGCCGAUAUCUGAUUAGCUAGUUGGUGGGGUAAAGGCCUACCAAGGCAUCGAUCAGUAGCUGGUCUGAGAGGACGACCAGCCACACUGGAACUGAGACACGGUCCAGGCUCCUACGGGAGGCAGCAGUGGGGAAUUUUGGACAAUGGGGGCAACCCUGAUCCAGCAAUGCCGCGUGAGUGAAGAAGGCCUCGGUUGUAAG
rnacentral:rRNA from 1 species